rnacentral:rRNA from 1 species
ACGGCGUCUAAUACCGGAUAUGAGCUGCGAUCGCAUGGUCUGCAGUUGGAAAGAUUUUUCGGUCUGGGAUGGGCUCACGGCCUAUCAGCUUGUUGGUGAGGUAAUGGCUCACCAAGGCGUCGACGGGUAGCCGGCCUGAGAGGGUGACCGGCCACACUGGGACUGAGACACGGCCCAGACUCCUACGGGAGGCAGCAGUGGGGAAUAUUGCACAAUGGGCGGAAGCCUGAUGCAGCAACGCCGCGUGAGGGAUGACGGCCUUCGGGUUGUAAACCUCUUUUAGCAGGGAAGAAGCGAAAGUGACGGUACCUGCAGAAAAAUUUUUUGUCUAACUACGUGCCAGCAGCCGCGGUAAUACGUAGGGCGCAAGCGUUAUCCGGAAUUAUUGGGCGUAAAGAGCUCGUAGGCGGUUUGUCGCGUCUGCUGUGAAAUCCCGAGGCUCAACCUCGGGCCUGCAGUGGGUACGGGCAGACUAGAGUGCGGUAGGGGAGAUUGGAAUUCCUGGUGUAGCGGUGGAAUGCGCAGAUAUCAGGAGGAACACCGAUGGCGAAAGGCAGAUCUCUGGGCCGUAACUGACGCUGAGGAGCGAAAGGGUGGGGAGCAAACAGGCUUAGAUACCCUGGUAGUCCACCCCGUAAACGUUGGGAACUAGUUGUGGGGUCCAUUCCACGGAUUCCGUGACGCAGCUAACGCAUUAAGUUCCCCGCCUGGGGAGUACGGCCGCAAGGCUAAAACUCAAAGGAAUUGACGGGGACCCGCACAAGCGGCGGAGCAUGCGGAUUAAUUCGAUGCAACGCGAAGAACCUUACCAAGGCUUGACAUACACCAGAACGCCCUAGAAAUAGGGAACUCUUUGGACACUGGUGAACAGGUGGUGCAUGGUUGUCGUCAGCUCGUGUCGUGAGAUGUUGGGUUAAGUCCCGCAACGAGCGCAACCCUCGUUCUAUGUUGCCAGCACGUAAUGGUGGGAACUCAUGGGAUACUGCCGGGGUCAACUCGGAGGAAGGUGGGGAUGACGUCAAAUCAUCAUGCCCCUUAUGUCUUGGGCUUCACGCAUGCUACAAUGGCCGGUACAAAGGGCUGCAAUACCGCGAGGUGGAGCGAAUCCCAAAAAGCCGGUCCCAGUUCGGAUUGAGGUCUGCAACUCGACCUCAUGAAGUCGGAGUCGCUAGUAAUCGCAGAUCAGCAAC